GAUUGUGCAAUGGGACUUGUCUCCAAACAUCUUGGUCAACUAUAGAGGAAAAGGCCGAGAUAGCCUUUCUAGCACUGACCAAUUCUGAGUUGCAAGCAAAUAGUCCUUUCGCCUAUAGUAUGCAUCAGGUGACAGGGAUUCAACUAACACAGUGCUAGAUACGUGAUUGAACCUCUUCCUCCCCGUGAGAUGGCAACCGCUUGCCUAAGGUCUUGGAUGUCAGGUCCUACGUCUGUGAAUGCCACAACUAAUCAGCUAAAGAUGGAGUUUGCAGGGUAAAGGGCUGCUGCGAGUGGUAUUGAUGGGCUGAGGAAGAUUGUAAUAUGAAGGUUGAGAAUGGUUUUGUGGAUGCGGUUGAUAAUGAGGUUGAAAUAGAUAAGAUCCUCCUUGAGCUUGCAAUGGCUGCCCUUGAUAGUGAUGUUGCGGUUGAUGCUAUUACGGGUGAUGUUGUCAUUAGAAAAUUUGUUGUUGAGGCUUUCUUUAUUGAAAAAGA